rnacentral:rRNA from 1 species
GACGAACGCUGGCGGCGUGCUUAACACAUGCAAGUCGAACGGAAAGGCCCUGCUUUUGUGGGGUGCUCGAGUGGCGAACGGGUGAGUAACACGUGAGUAACCUGCCCUUGACUUUGGGAUAACUUCAGGAAACUGGGGCUAAUACCGGAUAGGAGCUCCUGCUGCAUGGUGGGGGUUGGAAAGUUUCGGCGGUUGGGGAUGGACUCGCGGCUUAUCAGCUUGUUGGUGGGGUAGUGGCGUACCAAGGCUUUGACGGGUAGCCGGCCUGAGAGGGUGUCCGGCCACAUUGGGACUGAGAUAGGGCCCAGACUCCUACGGGAGGCAGCAGUGGGAAAUAUUGCACGAUGGGCGGAAGCCUGAUGCAGCAACGCCGCGUGCGGGAUGACGGCCGUCGGGUUGUAAACCGCUUUCGCCUGUGACGAAGCGUGAGUGACGGUAAUGGGUAAAGAAGCACCGGCUAACUACGUG